CCUGGGUUGGCUGACAGGUAAAGCAAACGACUCAUAAUCGUUGACAUGCGGGUUCGAUUCCCACACCCAGGA
rnacentral:tRNA from 1 species